GAUAAACGCUGGCGGCGUGCCUAAUACAUGCAAGUCGAGCGAACGGACGAGAAGCUUGCUUCUCUGAUGUUAGCGGCGGACGGGUGAGUAACACGUGGAUAACCUACCUAUAAGACUGGGAUAACUUCGGGAAACCGGAGCUAAUACCGGAUAAUAUUUUGAACCGCAUGGUUCAAAAGUGAAAGACGGUCUUGCUGUCACUUAUAGAUGGAUCCGCGCUGCAUUAGCUAGUUGGUAAGGUAACGGCUUACCAAGGCAACGAUGCAUAGCCGACCUGAGAGGGUGAUCGGCCACACUGGAACUGAGACACGGUCCAGACUCCUACGGGAGGCAGCAGUAGGGAAUCUUCCGCAAUGGGCGAAAGCCUGACGGAGCAACGCCGCGUGAGUGAUGAAGGUCUUCGGAUCGUAAAACUCUGUUAUUAGGGAAGAACAUAUGUGUAAGUAACUGUGCACAUCUUGACGGUACCUAAUCAGAAAGCCACGGCUAACUACGUGCCAGCAGCCGCGGUAAUACGUAGGUGGCAAGCGUUAUCCGGAAUUAUUGGGCGUAAAGCGCGCGUAGGCGGUUUUUUAAGUCUGAUGCGAAAGCCCACGGCUCAACCGUGGAGGGUCAUUGGAAACUGGAAAACUUGAGUGCAGAAGAGGAAAGUGGAAUUCCAUGUGUAGCGGUGAAAUGCGCAGAGAUAUGGAGGAACACCAGUGGCGAAGGCGACUUUCUGGUCUGUAACUGACGCUGAUGUGCGAAAGCGUGGGGAUCAAACAGGAUUAGAUACCCUGGUAGUCCACGCCGUAAACGAUGAGUGCUAAGUGUUAGGGGGUUUCCGCCCCUUAGUGCUGCAGCUAACGCAUUAAGCACUCCGCCUGGGGAGUACGACCGCAAGGUUGAAACUCAAAGGAAUUGACGGGGACCCGCACAAGCGGUGGAGCAUGUGGUUUAAUUCGAAGCAACGCGAAGAACCUUACCAAAUCUUGACAUCCUUUGACAACUCUAGAGAUAGAGCCUUCCCCUUCGGGGGACAAAGUGACAGGUGGUGCAUGGUUGUCGUCAGCUCGUGUCGUGAGAUGUUGGGUUAAGUCCCGCAACGAGCGCAACCCUUAAGCUUAGUUGCCAUCAUUAAGUUGGGCACUCUAAGUUGACUGCCGGUGACAAACCGGAGGAAGGUGGGGAUGACGUCAAAUCAUCAUGCCCCUUAUGAUUUGGGCUACACACGUGCUACAAUGGACAAUACAAAGGGCAGCGAAACCGCGAGGUCAAGCAAAUCCCAUAAAGUUGUUCUCAGUUCGGAUUGUAGUCUGCAACUCGACUACAUGAAGCUGGAAUCGCUAGUAAUCGUAGAUCAGCAUGCUACGGUGAAUACGUUCCCGGGUCU
rnacentral:rRNA from 1 species